AGGAAGACAUCUGAAAGAGCCAGCAGUGCAGGAGGUCCAUGGGAGCCUGACCAGGUUGUGCCCAGUCUGCCACCCUGAGCACUGAGUACCUGGGCAGAGAGAACGGUCCCUAUGGUAUGCACUGAGGUGAGGCAGCCGCCCUGCUCUGCCUCGCCCUGCCCACGGUGAUGUAUGGGGUGGUGUGAGAUGACGGGACCUAUAAGAAAUUGACACAUCAGCGGUAGCUAGGAAGAGGCAGGCUUAAGGAGGUCAUAUUCAAAGACAGGUCUCUAAACUCCAGCAAAGGCUCAAGCUUCCUCACAAGGCCUCAGUAUCUGGCCGAAUAAGGCCCAACAAAGAAUGAAAUUUAUAGGUAAGUUGUCUUGGUUAGGGUUUCCAUUCCUGUGAAGAGACACCAUGACCAAGGAAUUGGGGCUGUCUUACAGGUUUCAGAGGUUUAGUCUAGGUAGGCAUGGUGCUGGAGGAGCCUCCAGUACCUCCAGUUCUACAUUUUGUUAUGAGAGCAAACAGGAGAAGACUGUUUCAUGGGAAGCUAGAAGGAGGGUCUCAAUGCCUACCACCAUAGUGACACUUCCUCCAACAAGGCCAUACAAACUACAACCAAGUAGUAGUGCCAGUCAUAUUUAAACCACAAUAUAAGUGAAUGAAAGUAAUCCAAAUUCAGAAAGACAUGUUCUCUCUUAUAUGUGGAUCCUGCCACAUCCACUCCAGUGAAAACCACGUGACAGGCCCAAAGCUUGGAUGCAGUUCUGAGGCAAAAAGUUUCAUGGAAACUAGUCUCCUGGAGCCUUGGCAUCCCAUAGCACAAAUGCUCCAAAUUUGUCCUUGUGUCAGUCGAUAAAUGAUUCUGUGUGCUUUCUUUCAGUAUUGUUUUAUUAUAGGUGCCUCCAAGCAAUGAUUUGACAAAUACCUAAGUUAGAUUGAACUUUGCUUCCUAGCCUUCACCAAUGUCCUAGGCAGUCCUUGAGCCUACCCUGGGCUUGGAAUUUAGUAACAAUGUUACCUAUUCAGACGAAUUGCCUCCAGUAUUGAAAGAGUGAAAGAAAUCAGGCAUUACUAUCUACUACAUAGUUAGAAAUUUCAAGGUAAGCUUAGCAAAGUAAGUUUAGAAUUCUUACUAUAGUUAUGUAUGGCAGACUACUUUACUUAGUAGAAGAAAGCCCCCCACAAAAUCACUUAGAAUAACAGCCGAGUCACUCCCAUAAACAGGAAUUUUCAAUGAUUUAGGAAGUAGGUCGGGCUGUGGUUUUAGAGUAUCGCAUUAUUCAUGAGAAGGUUAGCUAGAGCAGAACUCCCUAGCACAUACUUUCACUAGCCCAGAGGAAUAGCAUAGUUAGGUAUUUACUAAGAGCUGGCUGAUGGUGGGUUAAACAGUAAAUCAGAAUUAGAACUAUGGCUUGGGUGUGAAAGCCCUGGGAGCGUAACGACCUCACACCUGGCUUCUAAGAAUAUAGCUGACCUUAGAGAGGACAGACUUUGCCUCAGUUGUUACAUUGCCUAGUUCCUGCUAGUCUUUAUGCAUGCAUUCUUCUGUUUUGUGUAAAGAGUCAUUAAGCAUCAGGUAACCUCAAUGUACCUUGGCUGAUGUGUCACCUAACUUCCUUGUUUUCUUCUGUAUUAUAAGUCUGAUGCUUACUUUGAGAAAUUACAUUCAGAUACAGC
rnacentral:lncRNA from 1 species